rnacentral:rRNA from 1 species
UACGUAGGGGGCAAGCGUUGUCCGGAAUCAUUGGGCGUAAAGCGCGUGUAGGCGGCUCGAUAAGUCCGUUCUGAAAGUCCAGGGCUCAACCCUGGGAUGCGGAUGGAUACUGUCGAGCUCGAGUCCGGAAGAGGCGAGUGGAAUUCCUGGUGUAGCGGUGAAAUGCGCAGAUAUCAGGAGGAACACCGGUGGCGAAGGCGGGUCUCUGGGCCGUAACUGACGCUGAGGAGCGAAAGCGUGGGGAGCGAACAGG